GCCAGCAGCCAUAUCACCCUGCAACUCGCAACCCACUGAAGCUCAGAAGGUGUGAGCCUGGUCAGUACCUGGAUGUGAGACCUCCUGGGAAAAACUAAGGCUGCUGCUGGAA
rnacentral:rRNA from 1 species